AAUACAUAGCUUAAUGAGGGGAACUCAGGGAACUGAAACAUCUAAGUACCUGAAGGAAGAGAAAGAAAUUCGAUUCCGUAAGUAGCGGCGAGCGAACGCGGAUUAGCCCAAACUAAUAAAGUUUUCUUUAUUGGGGUUGCGGACAUAUCAUAACGAAGAGGUAUCGUAAUUGAAGAGGUUUGGAAAGACCCACCACAGAAGGUAAUAGUCCUGUAUGUUAAACGAGAAGACUUUAGAUAUGAUCCAGAGUACCACGGGACACGUGAAACCCUGUGGGAAGCAGGAGGGACCACCCUCCAAGGCUAAAUACUACCUAGUGACCGAUAGCGUAUAGUACCGUGAGGGAAAGGUGAAAAGAACCCCGGGAGGGGAGUGAAAUAGAACCUGAAACCCUGCACUUACAAGCUGUGGAAGCACAUUUCUUGUGUGACCGCGUACUUUUUGUAGAACGGGCCAACGAGUUACGUUAAGUAGCAAGGUUAAGCACUUAAGGUGUGGAGCCGUAGCGAAAGCGAGUUUUAACUGAGCGUUCAGUUACUUGCCGUAGACCCGAAACCGGGCGACCUACCCAUGAGCAGGAUGAAGCGAAAGUAAAAUUUCGUGGAGGUCCGAACCCACGAGCGUUGAAAAGCUCGGGGAUGACUUGUGGGUAGCGGUGAAAUUCCAAUCGAGCCCGGAGAUAGCUGG
rnacentral:rRNA from 1 species